AGUAGUUUUUUUUUUUUUCUAAUUCUGUGAAGAAAGUCAAUGGUAGCUUGAUGAGGAUAACAUUGAAUCUAUUGAUUACUUUGGGCAUAUGGCCAUUUUCAUGAUAUUGAUUCUUCCUAUCCAUGAGCAUGGAGUGUUUUUCCAUUUGUUUGUGUCCUCUCUUAUUUCCUUGAGCAGUGGUUUAUAGGACUUCUUCCUUGAAGAGGUCCUUCAUACUCCUUGUAAGUUGUGUUCCUAGGCAUUUUAUUCUCUUUGUAGCAAUUGUGAAUGAGAGUUCACUCAUGAUUUGGCUCUCUGUGUGUCUAUUAUUGGUGUAUAGGAAUGCUUGUGAUUUUUGCACAUUGAUUUUGUAUCCUGAGACUUUCCUGAAGUUGUUUAUCAGCUUAAGGAGCUGCAAACAGAGACAAUUUGACUUCCUCUAUUUUUAACUGAAUACCUUUUAUUUCUUUCUCUUGCCUGAUUGCCCUGGCCCGAACUUCCAAUACUAUGUUGAAUGGGAAAGGUGAGAGAGGGCAUCCUUUAUUUUAUGCCAGUUUUCAAAGGGAAUGCUUCCAGUUUUUGCUCAUUCAGUAUGAUAUUGGCUGUGGGUUUGUCAUAAAUAGCUCUUAUUAUUUUGAGAUAUGUUCCAUCAAUACCUAGUUUAUUGAGAGAUUUUAGCAUGCAGGGCUGUUAAAUUUUGUCGAAGGCCUUUUCUGCAUCUAUUGAAAUAAUCAUGUGGUUUUUAUCAUUGGUUCUGUUUAUAUGAUGGAUCACGUUUAUUGACUUGCAUAUGUUGUACCAGCCUUGCAUCCCAGGGAUGAAGCCGACUUGAUUGUGACAGAUAAGCUUUUUGAUGUGCUGCUGGAUUUGGUUUGUCAGUAUCUUAUUGAGAAUUUUCACAUCAAUGUUCAUCAGGGAUACUGGCCUGAAAUUUCUUAUGCUGGUUUCUCCCCAACUUUGUGAUUUAUCUACCUUUGGUCUUUGAUGUUGGUGACCUUUGGAUGGGGUAUCUGAGUGGACGUCCUUUUUGUUGAUGUUGAUACUAUUCCUUUCUGUUUGUUAGUUUUCCUUACAGUCAGGCCCCUCUGCUGCGGGUCUGCUGGAGUUUGCUGGAGGUCUACUCCAGACCCUGUUUGCCUGGGUAUCAUCAGUGGAGGCUGCAGAUCAGCAAAGAUUGAUGCCUGUUCUUUCCUCUGGAAGCUUUGUCCUAAAGGGGCACCCACCAGAUGCCAGUCAGAGCUCUCCUGUAUAAUGUGUCUGUCAGCCUCUACUGGGAGGUGCCUCCCAGUCAGGAGACACAGCGGUCAGGGACCUCCUUGAGGAGUUAAUCUGUCCCUUAGUAGAGCUUGAGGACUGUGCCGGGAGAUCUACCACUCUCUUUAGAGCUGUUAGGCAGGGAUGUUUAAGUCUGCUUGAAGCUGUGCCCAUAGGUACCCCUUCCCCUAGGUGCUCUUUCCUAGGGAAAUAGAGGUUUUAUCUAUCAAUCCCUGACUGCAACUGCUGCCGUUUUUUUUUUCCCAGAGAUGCCCUGCCAAGAGAGGAGGAAUCUAGAGAGGCAGUCUGGCUGCAGUGGCCUUGUUGAGCUUCGGUGGGCUCCGCCCAGUUCGAGCUUCCUGAUGGCUUUGUUUACGGUCUCUGUCAUCCAGGCUGGAGUGCAGAGGCAUGCUCAUGGCUCGCUGAAACCUCUACCUCCUGGGCUCAAGGGAUCCUCCCACCUCAGCCUCCCAAGAUAAACACCCAAGACGGGGACUGCUGGAUCAUAUGGUAAGUGUCUGUUUAACUUUAUAAGAAGCUGCCAAACUGUUUCCCAGGGUGGAUGAUAUGGUUUGGUUCUGUGUCCUCAAUCAAAUCUCAUCUUGUAGCUCCCAUAACUUCCAUGUGUUGUGGGAGGGACCUGGUGGGAGGGAAUUGAAUCACAGGGACAGGUCUUUCCCAUGCUGUUCUGAUGAUAGUGAAUAUGCCUCACAAAUUCUGAUAGUUUUAAAAAUGGAGAUCCCCCGCAAAAGCUCUCUCUUUGCCUGCUGCCAUCCAUGUAUGAUGUGACUUGCUUCUCCUUGCCUUCCACCAUGAUUGUGAGGCCUCCUCAGCCAUGUGGAACUGUGAGUCCAAUUAAAUCUCUUUCUUCUAUAAAUUGCCCCGUCUCAGGUGUGUCUUUAUCAGCAGCGUGAAAACGGACUAAUACAGUGGAUAAACCAUUUUGCAUCCCUGGCAGCUGUGUAUGAGAGUUCUGAUUGCUCCUCAUCCUCCCUAGUUCUUGGUAUUGUCACUAUUUUUAAUUUUAACCAUUUUAACAGGUAUAUGAUAUCUCAUUAUGAGUUUGCAUUUGCACACCCCUAAUGACUAGUGAUUGAAGUAUCUUUUCAUAUAUUUAUUUCUCAUUUAUAUAUCCUCAUUGGUGAGGUGUUCCAGUCUUUUAACUAUUUUUUAACUAAAUUGUUUUCUUACCCCUGAAUUGUAAGAGUCCUUUCUUGACACCAUCUGGGUAAAAUCGUUUGCCAUGUAUAUAAUUUCUGAGUUUUUUUUCUCCCAGUUUGUGGCUUGUCUUUUCCUUCUGUUAACAAUGUCAUUCACAGAACAAAAGUUUUAUAUUUUGACGAAGUCUAUUUUUCAAUUUUUAAAUAGAUUAUGUUUUUGGUGUUCCGUGUAAAAACCAUUUUUUUUUUUUUGAGACAAGCUCUCAUUCUGUUUCUCAGGCUGGAGUAUAGUGGUGCGAUCAUGACUCACUGCAGCCUUAACCUCUCAGGUUCUGGCAAUUCCCCCACCUCACCCCUGCAAGUAGCUGGGAUUACAGGUGCUCACCACCAUGCCCAGAUAAUUUUUGUAGUUUUUGUAGAGACAGAGUUUUGCCAUACUGACAAGGCUGGUCUCAAACUCCUGGACUCAAGUGAUCCUCCUGCCUCAGACUUCCAAAAUGUUGAGAUUAUAGGUGUGAGCCACUGCACCUGGCUCCUAAAAACUCUGCCUAACUCCACUUUACGAAGAUUUUCUCCUAUGUUUUUUCCCCUAACAGUUUUCUAGUUUUACUAAAAUGAAUUAUCUCUUAAUAGCUUAGAGAAAACUGAGACAGUAAAUGAGAGUCUAAAUAUUUUGAAAUGACAUUUUUAAUGUUUAAAAACAUUCAUAAGUAUCUAGAAUAUUGCAUAAGAUAUAUCUGUGAAAUAUAAAACAAAUUCCAAAAGUAAAGGUCUCCAUAACUUCAGAAGAAAACAUUCCAAGGAUAUGCUUUCUUCAUUGUGCAAUUCUCAAUUUCCACCCCCACAACAAGGGCAUGAAAUGGGUUUGUUGAAUAUAACAGUACUGUUCUGUGGUGAGUGAAAUUGGAUAGAAAAAGUCUUAUAUUUCUUAACAUUAGUCUUAGUAAAAGAAACAAGAGAAAUUUUUUUCAAAGGUCAGACUCCCCAUGAAAUUUAUUGUUUAAUGAAAAUGCACUGACAAUCCUAGGACAACACUUGUAAUGUCUGAAAUAUCUAGCAACUGUUUUCAAAAUUAAACAUCUUUGAAAAAUUCUUUGAAAGACUUUAUAAAUGAAGCAAUCCCCCCAUUAACUCCUUCCAAACAAUAACUGAUUUCAAGGUAUUAGCAAAGAAGAGUGCUUUUAUGGAUCUCUGACCGCAUACAUUUUUUCAAGGCAUAUUAUAAAUAUUGCUUUCAUAAAUAUAUAUGAGAUCGCUGAAUUAAUUUUUUGGUAAUAAAUUAAAUCUGUAAUGAUAUUAAUAGUUUACUUUCCCAAAAGUAUUACUACCAUUUUGAAGUAUAGUAAGAAAUUAUUUCUUUAAGUAAAAACUGAAAGAAUUUCCAAAUCAGCUUUCUGUUAUAGCUGUUAGACACUUUGCUCCUACCUAAGCUGUUCUGCCCUGAAAUAAUCUCAAGAUCCUGAGAUUUCCUACUAGAAAAAUUAAACACUUGUCAAAUGAAGAAAUAGUAAAUCCAUUUAGAAGCAGAAUUUUAAGAUAAUUAUUAUUAGAUUUAUCACUGAUACAAGUCAACUAUGUAUACUUCCCAUUAUGUAAAUGAACCAGUAAUUUGAUAUUACAAUGAAAUAUAAAGAUUACCCAAAGAAAAGUUACCACUAGAGACUACUGGAUAUAUCUAAAGUUAAACAAAAAAGGGCUGGGUACAGUGGUGAGCACCUGUAACCCCAACUACUUGGGAGGCUAAGGUGGAAGAAUUACUUGAACUCAGGAGUUUGAGACCAGACUGGGCAACACAGGGAGUCCAUGUCUCAUCAAUAAGUAAAAUAUGAUAAACAAAAAGGGCCUAAGUAUUUUUAGGGAAUUAAAAACCUGAUAUCUAAUAUUAAGUAAAAGAGACUCUGAAGUAGCUGGAUUUUGAUCUUAUAUUUUCACAAACACAACUUCAUGGCCCUCACUAAAUUAAAACUGUGAAUUCUGAUGAUUUUUCCUAGAAAUAAUGGUCAUUUGUAGAAUUUAAAAAAAAAAAAAAGAAAAAAAUAAAGAGGUUGGGACAUGAUGAGAAGUUUGCUUUGGGGGAAAAAGAAAGGACAACUUUUUCUUGCCAUGCUCUACAUAUACCCACCUUUGCUUCUUUUAGGCAGAAUAUUUCUUUUAUUUAUUUAAUUUUUUUCAAGACAGGGUCUCACUCUCACCCAGGCUGGAAUGCAGUGGCACUAUCACAGCUCACUGCAGUGCUGAAUCCUGGGCUCAAGUGAUCUUUUCACUUCUAUAUCCCAAGUAGCUGGGACUACAGGCAUGUGCCACCAUGCUUGGCUAAUUUAUUUUUUAUUUUUUUAUAGAUACAGGGUCUGCCAAUGUUUCCCAGGCUGGUCUCAAACUCUUGGGUUCAAGUAAUUCUGCCACCUCAGCCUCUCAAAGUGUUGGGAUUACAGGUGUGAGCCCUUGUGCAUGGCCUAGACGAAUAUUUUUCUUUUCUUUCUUUUUUUUUUUCUCGUUGCCCAGGCUGGAGUGUAAUGGCGCAAUCUCGGCUCACUGCAACCUCCCACUCCAGGGUUCAAGCAGUUCUCCUGCCUCAGCCUCCCAAGCAGCUGGGAUUAUAAGCACCCACCACGCUGCCCAGUUGGGUGUAUUUUUUGUAUUUUUAGCAGAGAUGCAGUUUCACUGUGUAGGCCAGGCUGGUCUCAAGCUCCUGACCUCAGGCAAUUCACUCACCUUGGCCUCCCAAAGUGCUUGGAUUAUAGGUGUGAACCACUGCGUCUGGCCCAGAAUAUUUCUUAAUAAACACAUGAACUUGAGUCAAUCUCAUUGUUGUGGAGGGGUUGCAGUGCUCACCUGUGGGCUUUAAUGUGAUCUUUCUAAUAUCUGUGUACUUGGUCAUUCCAUUCUCCUGCCUCUCCAUCUUCCCAUCCACCUCUCUACCUCUCUAUUUACCUAUUGAGCCAGCGAGCCUCUUUCCAAAAUUAACGUGAGACAAUUUAACAUGGCUGUAUUAUACACAAAGUCAGUCUAGCUCUUUGAUAGUUUAGAUAACUUUAAAAUUUACUAAAUAAUGUUUUCUUUUUUCAAAUAUCUGCAGCUUUGCCCCAAAACAUAAAACAAUGUUUUCUCGAUUUAGAUACAAAAAAAGAAUCACUUUAAAUAGUUUUCUGGUCCAUUUGCAAAUUUCUUGUUUUGCAAGUUAUGCUUUAUUAAUACCCAGAUGGCCUCAUUCAAUCAUUGUAUUCUAGCUGUGCAUCCAGUAAGAACAAGGUCACUUGAGGCUCAGAAUAACCCUUCAGCAAAGUGCUGAAAAAAUAUGGACUUGAGAAGAUAAUAUAAAAGAAAAGUGUUGCCAAAGGUCAAGAUAGCCAAGGUUGCAUGGAUGUGUUGCAAGAUCAGGCACAUUCAUUCACAAGAUUUAGAACUGUAGGGGCAGAAAAAAAACUGUUCCUUUAUCCUCUUAGGUUCAGUAGCUGAGAACUACAAAUUAAACUGACAAAAGACAUAUCAAUAGGAGAAAAGGUUUAUUUUCAAUGCACACAGUCUCUUCACAGAAAAGUAGCAAAACCUCAGUGAGGCAGUUUGGUGUAGAAGAGCCGGGAGUUUAUAUACCAUUUUAACAAAAGGUGAUAAGUUGUGGACAGGUGACUAGACAAAGGAAAAGGAAUUUGGGCUUCUGGGGAAGUACAUUGUGAGAAGGCAAAUACAUGGGGUAAAUUAAUGGAAGAUCAAGCUUAUUUUAGUAAGGUUUGUUUUUGCAGACUCAUCAGUAGGAAUUGUCUCUGGUGAUUAGACACCUUUACAAAUGAAAAUUUAUGUCACCUUUAUGAAGUGAAAUGUAUGCCCUGUUUUUCAGCAGAAAGAUAGAGGACAGAGAGUUCCUCCUGUGUCUGCUGUUUCUUAAUUGCCAUCAGCUCAAAUUAAUCCUCAUGCCAAAAUGGCAUAUUUUGAGAUGGCAUAUUAGAAUCCCCUUUGGUGCUAUUUCAUGUUGCCUGAUUGCUAGCACAUUUCCCUUAUAGGUUGGUUCAGAGGACUGUUUCCAUAUCAUGUCCAUGCUUCCUCAUUUGGAAUUACAAUGAGAGUUUAAGGAUUAAACGCUUCAAUAUAACAUUCAGUUAAUAAAACAUCAAUUUUACUCACAUCUGGUGUUUGAACAGCUGAAUUCCACAUAACUGGCCUCUGAAGGAAUACGAUCUGCUUUGUAGCCAAAUUCCCUUCACUGCAAAUUAAAACAAUAGUAUUAGUAUUUGUGAAUUAGUAAUUCUCUAUAUUUCAUAAUUGGCUAGAAUGUUCCAUAUGUAGUUUCAUAAAAUAAUCUUCUGACCGAAAAUAAUUAUAAAACAUAAUUCUUUUUUUUCUUCCGGUGAUGGAAAAACUGUAAAACAUAAUUCUAUAAAAACCGCAUCUGAAAAAACAAGAACAACCCCUAAAAAACUGAAUAUGGUCACUAGAAAAUAAAACUAUUUUAAUGUUUAAAGACUCUUGUAAUCUCACCAAGCUAACAUCAAUAUUUUCGUUUCUUUGUUUCCCCUCUUAGUCUUUAUCAGCUCGUGUAUUUGCAUGUCUGUAAUCACUGCAUAUUUAUAUUUUGUUUCUAUGCCCUUCACUGAGCACUCUUUUUCAGUUUGUACACUGUAAUCGUAUUUUUAAUGGUUGCAUAAUAACUCAAAGAAUUAAAAUAUCAAAAUGUACUCAACCUUUCUUUUAUUAUUGGAAAAUAAGGUUGCUUCCAGUUUCUUGCCAGUUAUAAAUAAAUGAUGCUGUUAUAAAAAAUAUGUAUCAUAUUGAUCUUAUGAAUUAUUUUCUUGAAAUGAAUACUUAGGAGUGGGAUUAUUAGGUCAAAACUUAUGAUUUAAACUUCUUGUUAUGCAUUGUCAAAUUUGCAUUAUAAAUAGAAGAGACCAAUUUAGGCUGCCACAUGUGAGAAAAAUUUACAUUCAUUUUCAAUUGAGGGACUUCAACUAUAGCUAGUUUUACUUUCAGAUGCUUCUUUGUAGUCAGCUACUCAGUAUUCUCCUUAUCUAACUAUCAUCAUGGCAAAUUACCCCUUGCCAACGACUAUUUGUGGUUUGUAUUCCUCUGAAAUGCUUUUCACAGAGUCUCCAUGGAUUUAUGGGGAGGAGUGUCUGUAGCUAAUGUUGCUCAGUUACGACUUUUAUUAUGCAAAAAACCCCAACAAAACCUUACUAUUAGCUGCAUUUUAUGCUGAGCUCUUUUUCUGGAAAAUGAAUGCAACACUGAAACUCUGGCUUUAGAGUUAUGUGUCAGCUGCACAGCAUUUGAAAAUCCCAACCUUACUGAUACUGCUGAAUUUUGAGAAAUAUCAAAUAUUUCUCAAAGUGAUAACAGGAGACUACUUUUUUAUUUUCAUUUUUGAAAGACUGUUUCUAGUCUCAUUAGAGCAAAAAACUUACAUAAAACAUAUAGUAACUUUGGGAACAAAUCAUCAUGAGGCUUUGGCACAUGGAUAGGAUUAGCAUGUGUACAGAAAAGGUUGGUCAUAUGUUUUGGAAGCAUGAAGUAUACCGGAAAAAGCCAUGGCUUUGGAACCAGACAGUUCCUGUGUUCAAAUCCAAAUUCUGCCGUAGUAUUUAAUAGUUGACACCUUUAAUCAAUUAAACCUUAAAUUCUCUGACUGUUUUCUAUCAGGGACCUCGAUAAGUGAUAAGUGAGGAAAAAGCAUGUGUGAAAAGCCCCCCCAUUGUGCCUGCGACUAGAAGAAGUACAACAAAUGUAAUUUCUUUCCACUUUUCCAUUUAUUUAGUGAAAUAUAGGGUGCAGUUAAGGGAAUGGAGGAAAAGUUUUAGAAUCAAGAAUAUCUUCCAGAGGGCAAAUUCAAGGGACAGCCAAAUAUGGUGUUCAUGCCUGUAAUCCCAGCACUUUGUGAAGCUGAGUGGGGAGGAUCCCUUGAGUCCAGGAGUUUGAGACUAGUCUGGGAAACAUACUGAGACUCCUGUCUCUAUAAAAACAUUAAAAAAAAAAUCUAUCCAAGUGUGGUGUCACGUGCCUGUGGUCCCAGCUACUUGGGAGGUUGAGGUAAGAGGAUCACUUGAGUCCAGAGGUUGAGGCUGCAGUGAGCCAUGAUCAUACCACUGAACCCUAGAAUGGUGACAGAGAGAGAAAACUUCUUUUUCUUUCAAGAUGGAGUUUUGCUCUCAUUGCCCGGGCUGGAGUGCAAUCUUGGCUCACUGCAACCUCCACCUCCCGUGUUCAAGUGAUUCUCCUGCCUCAGCCUCCUGAGUAGCUGGGAUUACAGGCAUGAGCCACCAUGCCCGGCUAAUUUUGUAGUUUUAGUAAAGUUGGUGUUUCUCCAUGUUGGUCAGGCUGAUCUUGAACUCCUGACCUCAGGUGAUCCACCUGCCUUGGCCUCCCAAAGGUGUGAGUCACUGCGCCAUGCUGAGAGAACCUAUCUUAAAAGAAAGAAGGAAGGAAAAGUAAAGAAAAAAGAAAAACAAAUUCAAGGGACAGGGUACACGGGAAUGGAGAAGAGACCUUCUGGUUCAUGUUCUUGGUGUGUGAUCCAGGUGGAGAAUCAUAAAGGACUAGGCCUGGAAUGAUCCAAAGAUGGGAAGGAGAGAUCAGGGUAGAAUUAUUCUCCUUGAAGAGAAAGCAGGAGCACGUUGGGGUAGGGAUUGCUGGAGACCAUACAGGGUUGCUUACAGAUCAACUGCGGAUGGGGCAAUUCUGAAUGCACUAAGAUGUAAUGUUUGGCCUACGGCAGGCUUUACACACCUUACUGUGUAUUCCAAACACUGAGGUGCCUGUUGAUUCCAGGGUUCACUCCACGUCUAUGGAAUCUUCAUUUCACCAGGCUCCCCAGGUGGCCCUGACACACAGUACACUUGGGAACCAUCACAAGAAGACACAGACUUGGAAGUGUGGACUUCACAGGCCCUGGGGAUUACUUGGUGAUACUUCCUUCUAUCAAAGGCAUUCACUGUUGGUUUUCCUUGAAUAAUAAUAAAACUCACCAAGAAUUCCUCUUGGUAUGGAGUGUGGAACCAAAAAGGGCUUAUUUUCUGGAAGCAUCCUCAAUGUCUAUUUUACCAUAUUCUCCUAAUGUGACAUGUGUCCUUAAAUUUUUUGGACAAUUUUAGCCAGAUAGGCUGCCUAGAGCCAUACUGAAGACACAUGUUUAAUCGUCUGCAGUUUCUCAAUGUAUUCCUGACCUGACUUGUCUAAAAUAUUUAUAUAUAUAUAUAUAUGUCCAAAAUGUUAUAUUUUGGAAUGUGGGUGAGGAGUUACUCCCUCUGCAGUCUGACACAAUUCCUGGCAGCAACUCCAAAUUAUGAGAGUAUCUCUAUCAGUGGAUCCUGAGGCAGUGGGGGAAGGAGAAAGAGGAAGGAGAUAGCUUAUCGAAGGCUCUGUGGGUUGGAGGUAGAGGUAGGUACGUUAGGGGUGUAUGUCAAGGAAAAAAGUCCUCAGAUGGUGUGACGUACAGUGCUCAAUCCUGGGUUGAGAAUCAUCGCCUGUAUGUUGAAAGAGGAUUCUCUCCACCAGCGUUCUGCUUGAUAUUUAACACAGGAUGCAGAGAGGUGAGACAUGUGGCAUAGGGGAGGUGAACCCCCUGUUGCUACUUCAGUGAAGCAAGAGCACUGUCAAACCUAUUCCUCCUGUGGUGUGAAGGGGAUUGCCUCUGAAAGGGCAGAAGCUUUUUAAGCAUGAGCUUUAUUUAAUUUAAUUUUUUUUUUGAGGCACAUUCUCACUCUGUCACCCAGGUGCAGUGCAGUGGUAUGAUUGUGGCUCACUGCAACCUCCGCCUUUUGGGUUCAAGCAAUUCUUCUGCCUUAGCCUCCCGAGUAGCUGGGAUUACAGGCAUGUGCCACCACACCGGCUAAUUUUUUUGUAUUUUUAGUAGAUACAGGGUUUCACCUUGUUGGCCAGGCUGGUCUUGAACUCCUGACCUCAAGUGAUUCACCUGCCUUGUCCUCCCAAAGGGCCAGGAUCACAGGCCUGAGCCACCGCAUCUGACCUAAGCAUGAGCUUUAAAACUGAUGAGUAAUGCCUUCCAGUGGCUCUAUGAGGAGUGGUUUGGGGAGUCUAAUGAGAUAAAAAGCAAACAUGGAGAUGGUUUGUCAAAGGCUGACAACUUUAGACAGCAUUCAGAUGCCUGAAUAAGAGUUUGGAAGGUCAGCAUCUGCCUACCUCUUGGGGAGGUCCUCAAGCGACUCUUGUAUCUCAGCCUCCUGAAUAGCUGUGACCACAGGUAUGUGACACUAUGCCUGGCUAAGUUUUGUAUUUUUAGUAGAGACAGGAUUUUGCCAUGUUGGUUAGACUGGUCUUGAAUUCCUGACCUCAGGGGAUUUGCCUGCCUCGACCUCCCAAAAUGCUGGGAUUAUAGAUGUGAGCCACCACACCUGGCUUGCAUUUUAUGCACUUUCUAUUUGAGUGUUUUAUGCCACAGAAAUAUUGUAAUUACUUAAGACUCUAUUGUUCUAUGUAAGACAAACACAUAUAAGGAAGAAGGUUUUCACUGGCAGUAGUUUUAAGUUAUGUUUUUGACAUGUGAGCCACAAAAGAAAGAUGAUGAUAGACAUUCAUUUUUCUGGGUAUGAGAAUAUGUGAAAGCAGAUAUUUUAAUAAUGUCAUUCUGUAUUUCUGUUGCUUUUAUUGUCUUGUCAUCUUCAGUGAUGAUUUCUUAUAUUGUGAACUACAGUAUUUACAUUUUCUGAAACAUCCUGAUUUAGGAUAGGCCAAACUAUCAUGCCUGAACAUUGGUUUCAACUUACCAGAAAUUUUGGUUCUGCUAAAGAUUAGGUCCCAAAACAUUAGCCUAAUAUGCUCAGGCCCUGUACAGGUAGUUUGCAUGUAUUAUCUUAGCUACUGUGAUAAUACACUAAAGUUGAUAUUAUUGUACCAUUUUUCAGAUAAGGAAAUUUACCUUUUCUUUUUCUUUGAGACAGAGUUGUGCUCUGUCAUCUGUCACCCAGGCUGGAGUACAGUGGUGCAAUCUCGGCUCAUGGCAACCUCCACCUCACGGGUUCAAACGAUUUUCCUGCCUCAGCCUCCGGAGUAGCUGGGACUACGGGUGCAUCCCACCAUACCCAACUAAUUUUUUUUGUAGUUUUAGUAGAGACAGGGUUUCAGUGUGUUGGCCAGGAUGGUCUCAAUCUCCUGACCCCCUGACCUGCCUGCCUUGGCUUCCCAAAGUGCUGGGAUUACAAGUUUGAGCCAUUGUGCCUGGCCAGGAAAUUUAUCUUAAAAACGUUAGAUGACUUGCCCCAAUCAUACAGCUAGACAAUGAGGAAGGUAUAAUUAAAACAAGAUCUGCUUAGCUCCAAAGCCUGGGCUCCUAACCACUCCUCUAGUUUCAGAGACUUAAAACUUCAGGCUCUAUCUUCUACCUUGACCAAGGUCAACUGUAUAUAAUGUUUUUCUUUAUUUUUAAAGACUAAAUAAUUGACAAUAAUUCCCAUCAUUGUGUGUACUAAAGCAGCCAAGAACAGCAUGCGGCUGUCAUAGGGACAAUAUAUUUGUACAAGAAUAAAAAGGCAGAGGAUAAACAAGCUUUACCAACAAUGCUUUUUACCAAAUGACCAUGAACUUUUACCUUCAUCCUAUAUUUCCUGUGUUGCAGGCACUUGGCAGGACCCAAAUUACAAAAUGCAGAGGAACCAAAUCAGCACCAAUAUUACACAAUGUUCCUUGGCAUACAGAAGAAGAGUAGACAUUGUGUGUUGCAGUGUGCCUUGUUACAUAAGGGCAAUUACUGUUAAAAUUACAUUUUUCUACUAUGAUCUAUACAGAAUUAUGGGCAUAUUCCUAGAUAGAAAUCUGCUAAAUAGUGAUGCUGCUGCCCUUUAAUCUCUUUAGUAUUUGAAGAUCUAACUUUGACAGUUUAAAAUGUCUCUUCUUUUUAGUAUUCCUGUAGAACUUAUAGACUAAGGCACCUCAUCUAGCCCUUGAUGAGUUACUGUAUAUAUAUAUAUUUUUUUGAGAUAGAGUUUCACUCUUGUUGCCCAGGCUGGAGUGCAAUGGCAUGAUCUUGGCCCACUGCUCCCUCCACCUCCUGGGUUCAAGCAAUUCUCUUGCCUCCGCCUCAAGAGUAGUAGGGAUUACAGGCAUGCACCACCAAGCUCAGCUAAAUUUUUAUUUUUAGUAGAGACCAGGUUUCUCCAUGUUGGUCAAGUUGGUCUUGAACUCCCAACCUCAGGUGAUCCACUGCCUCAGCCUCCAAAAAUCCCAGCCUCAGCUGGGAUUACAGGCGUGAGCUACCACACCCAGCCUGAUGAGUUACUGUAUUAUAUUGACCAAUACAUAAGCUUGAUCUGUCCUGACCAGAAUGGAAGCCCCUCAUUUACUAUGCAUGAAAUGUAAGCUUAACCAGCUCACAACCUCCAUCAGGCCAGAAACUAUGCACAGCUUCCACAUGUUUUUAUUUAUUGAUUGACUUUUUGCCUUUUAGAUUUAAUUUCUAAAGUUUAAAAUUCAGAAUGGCAUGGCAGAGAGAAGAGAAGGAGCAUCUGAAUGUUGAGAGGAGUUUGGCUGAAGAUGGUUGGAGAAGAGAUUGGCUGCUGGAUGGUCAAACUCCAGAUGAUCAUCUUCCCACUCAAUCCUACUUCCACCCUCAGUAAAACCUACACAAUCACCAUCCUCAAUUCUUUGUGCAACUUGACUCUUCCUGGACCCUGGACAAGGACCUAGGUACCGAAAGGACACUAAGCUGGUUAACAUUUCAGCCGUCUGCAGAUGGCAAAGCUAAAAGAACACUGUUACACAUGCCUCCUUGGGCUUUGGGAGUUGCAGGCACCCACCCCUAGAUGCUACCAUGAGGCCGGAGCCCCAGAGCACUUGCGCCAGCUCCUGCACCUGCCCAUCUGCAUGCUCUCCCUCCGGUAAGGGGUUUGAGAACACAGCUGCUGAACAGACAAGCCACACCCUUGUCACAUGUCCUGCAAAGGGAGUCAGGGAAUUCUCUCAUUUCAUGAAAACUGAAUCUUGAGAAUUACUACUGUUCUGUUAUAUGACAAGUACAUCACAGAGUAGAAAAGGUUAGGAAAUCAUGCUUCAGGAGUCAUCACUCAAUUUGAGAACAGUUACUACAGAGCUCUGGGAAGUGGAUUAAUUGCUUUGCUUAUUUCAAACAUUCCUUUUUUGUUCUUUAAGCUUGAGUUUCUUUACUUUAUAUCCACCUAAUUCUUUUUCCUACCUGACAAAGGUGCGGCUGUUGAGAUAAAGCCAUGCCAAUCAAAGGUUUUUAAAUGUUGAGGGUAUUGGGAUACUGGACAGGGCUAAGUUGCUAAACCAGGAAGUCCAGAGAUGGUGAGUGAAGUGGGUUAGACUAAGGAAGGGGAAGUUGCCUUCCUUAGUGACAGCUGACAACCACUCAGAAUGUUAAUGCAUACUUGACUUUGCUAAAAGGGAAGGCCCAGUUGGUGCUGCACUAUCCUCUGCAGGUAGUCACCUGCCCAGGCAGGACAGCUUUGGCAGUCAGUCAUUUCCUGGAUGCCUAAGCCGGCAGAGGACACAUCUCUGGGUCCCAGGAAUAGCAAAGCAUUUUACAUAAUGACUUACUUGGUCUCUGUUUCUCUGUCUCAAAAAAGUAAACUCAAUUUUUCCUUUCCAAGAAAGUUGGUAAAAGGAGAAAAGGAAAAGGAAAGUUAGUGCUUGUGAAAUAUUGGCAUUUGGUUCUAAUGCAGUUAUUUAUUUUAAUGGAAACAGCUACUGAGGGGAACUAACUCACCACACUGGAGGGGAGGUGGCAGAAGCGCUCCUCCAUCCUGCUUGCUCUGGAACCCUACUGCGUCCUAAACCUGGCCGUGUGCUGAGGUGAGGACAGUUUUGCAUUUGUGCUGCAGAGCUUAACAGCGUAUACAUCUUGAACUCCUGACCUCAGGUGAUCCACCCACCUCGGCCUCCCAAAGUGCUAGGAUUACAGGUGUAAGCCACUGCGCCUGGCCAGCUUAUACAUCUAUAAUGCCAAAGACUGAAUUUGCUAACCUCCAAGGUCUAUAAAAUCAAAUUAGAAGCUCGGUGAAAUGUUGUUUUGUAGGUAUUAAACAAAUAUUUGUUAAACUGAAUUAUCUUUCUUUAAAUUUUUAAAUUUUUAUUUUUAUAUAAAGAUGAGGUUUCACCAUGUUGGUCAGGCUGGUCUUGAACUCCCAAUCCCAGGUGAUCCGCCCGCCUUGGCCUCCAAAGUGCUUGGAUUACAGGUGUGAGCCACCACUCCUGGCCUAAACUGAAUUAUAUAACAAAUGAAAUUAUAUAUUAGAAUUAAAUGAGAGUCUGUAAGAAUGCUUUUGCCUUACC